rnacentral:rRNA from 1 species
UACGUAGGUGGCGAGCGUUUGUCCGGAUUUACUGGGCGUAAAGAGCGCGCAGGCGGUCGUUCAAGUCGCGUGUGAAAGCCCCCGGCUCAACUGGGGAGGGUCACGCGAUACUGAUCGACUCGAAGGCAGGAGAGGGAAGUGGAAUUCCCGGUGUAGUGGUGAAAUGCGUAGAUAUCGGGAGGAACACCAGUGGCGAAGGCGACUUCCUGGCCUGUUCUUGACGCUGAGGCGCGAAAGCUAGGGGGAGCAAACGGGG